GAGUCUCGUCUAGGAGCUUUGUCUACAAGCUCCUUCUGCCUUGCCUUAGAUGGCCUAAUCUAAUCAAUACAGAUACCAAAGCGUCCUAAAGAUGCCUUAAAGUGAAGCCUUCGUGUCAAGGAACAUCACCGUUGGAAAUGGUCACCGAACGUGAGAUGGAGAUUAGGAGUCACCUUGUUUUGAGAGCUCUGUGGAUUUCCGGGUAGCCUGUUUCAGAGACCCUGAUUUGGGAGAUCAUAUGUCUUGCAAAACCAAGGCGUGCAUUGUUGCAACCCAGUUUGGGGUCACCUCCAAGUGUUCCUGGACUUCUAGACUUCUGCCUUAGACUGAAGCACUUAGUGACCUCAGUCUCAGCUGGCGCUCAAUGUUCAAAGGUUAGCGUCGAGGUGCGCUGAGGAGACCCAAAGGGGGCGGAACCACCCUGCAUAGCAUUAGACUUUUAACUCUGCUCCCGCCCUCGGUCCCCUGUAUCAGAUUGGUUGGAAGGAGAGCGUGGGUUAAGGGGGCAUGGACCUGCCUUCCCCUUUCUGGUUCAGGAGCCAAACUUCAUCUUGGAGUCAGAACAAAGCCAUGGCCGGAUCACACUAAGGAGCUCCAGCCUGUUUUGGGACAGAGCCAGGACCCAGAAACCAUUGCCAUGAGCCACCAGCUGGCUCCGGUCCCGGAAAACUUGUGCAGCUGCCGCACAGGCCAGACUGGGCCUGCACACUGUCACAGUGCCAGGCCCUCCAUUAAGGCCCCCGUCUCCGCUCACACCAGGCUCACACCCAACUUGCCCCGCGUACUUUGGCAUCCUCCUGCUUUGAGGUGUGCCCUGGGAUUACAGGGGAGACUUCAGAACCACCGAGUGACCUGCCUCCUCUUAUCUUUCUGGGAAUUACACAGUUGUUCUGGAACCCCUUGGAGAGGUCAAGGUAGAUGGCUCCAGUCGCUGGUCUGAUGAAAAUGGAGGAUUGAAUCAUUUCCCUUAACUCUGUGUGGUCUAAUUUAAGUGCCUGUCAUUAGUGCUUCUAAGGAGAACACAGGCUUUGGUGAUGGCAGAAAUGGAGCGGGCAGACUCGUAGCAAGAUGCAUCCCGGAAGACGUAUGACUCCUCCGGAUACUGAGAUGGGACAGUGCAGGGCGUGUUUGGAGCACAGAGGGUCCUCUGGAACAGCUGGGGUGCACAGGAUAGAUUGAGGGGUCACAUCAGACGAGAUGGUGAUUGUUCUGGAAAACGAACCCCCUGGAUUCCAUCCUAGAGGCAAAGCCGAGACACGUGGAGAAUCUUAAGCAACCGACAAGGUCAAGGGAUUUAAGUUAGUGUGUACGGCAAACGAAAGGUCUGCAGAAGUCUGGAGUUCACUCCGGAUGGAUGAACAAGCCUAUUGUCCUAUUGUCCAGUUGAACCUCCUACAGGACUGGCAGGUUUUCUCCACCCCAACCAGAUAAACCCCAAUUCUCCUCAAGCCCCCAAAUUCAAAUCUUGAGAGCUGGAAAUCUUCCUUUCCCAGACAACUCCUCCAAAACAAUUAACACUUGGCUCAGACUGUCUGGUACCCUAAUGUCUGUCUAGAGUCAGCAGCGAUAAACUGUUUCUCACACUCUCCCCAGAAGGAGUGUGAAGAAAGGCCAAACCCUACCCCUGGAACACAGUUCGCCAUAUUCCAGUAGAGACCUUGCCUCAGAUUAUGGAACAAGCUAGAUUAUAGAAGACUUCUUGUCUAGUGACAUUUGUUUCCUAAACUUCUACAAUAAAGCCUGUUUUCAAACCU
ensembl:lincRNA Gm26576 predicted gene, 26576